rnacentral:rRNA from 1 species
AGUGGAUGCGAGCAUCUUUGUGGUCAAGUUGUUAAGGGCACAUGGUGGAUGUCUUGGCUUCAGGAGCCGAUGAAGGACGUGGGAGGCUGCGAUAUGCCUCGGGGAGCUGUCAACCGAGCUGUGAUCCGAGGAUUUCCGAAUGGGGAAACCCAGCACCAGUGAUGUGGUGUUACCCGCCGGUGAAUAUAUAGCCGGUGUGGAGGGAACGCGGGGAAGUGAAACAUCUCAGUACCCGCAGGAAGAGAAAACAAAAGUGAUUCCGUGAGUAGUGGCGAGCGAAAGCGGAUGAGGCUAAACCGAUUGCAUGUGAUACCUGUCAGGGGUUGUGUGGUCGGGGUUGUGGGACCUGUCUUCUCAGAGCUGACACUCUGGGCGUGAUGCGGCAUGGUUAGCGGAACCGUUUGGGACGGCGGGCCGGAGCGGGUGAGAGCCCCGUACGCGAAAACUGUGUUUGUGUCGUGCGAUGGUGUUCCCGAGUAGCAGCGAGCUCGUGGAAUUUGCUGUGAAUCUGCCGGGACCACCCGGUAAGCCUAAAUACUUCCUGGAGACCGAUAGCGGACGAGUACCGUGAGGGAAAGAUGAAAAGUACCCCGGGAGGGGAGUGAAAGAGUACCUGAAACCGUGUGCCUACAAGCCGUCAGAGCUCACGUGUUGAGUGAUGGCGUGCCUUUUGAAGAAUGAGCCUGCGAGUUAGUGCUGCGUGGCGAGGUUAACCCGGGUGGGGUAGCCGUAGCGAAAGCGAGUCCGAACAGGGCGAUCUGAGUCGCGUGGUCUAGACCCGAAGCGGAGUGAUCUACCCAUGGCCAGGGUGAAGCGACGGUAAGACGUCGUGGAGGCCCGAACCCACUUAGGUUGAAAACUGAGGGGAUGAGCUGUGGGUAGGGGUGAAAGGCCAAUCAAACUCCGUGAUAGCUGGUUCUCCCCGAAAUGCAUUUAGGUGCAGCGUCGCGUGUUUCUUGCCGGGGGUAGAGCUACUGGAUGGUCUAGGGGCCUUACCGGGUUACCGAAAUCAACCAAACUCCGAAUACCGGUUAGUGAGAGCGCGGCAGUGAGACGGCGGGGGAUAAGCUUCGUCGUCGAGAGGGAAACAGCCCAGAACACCAGCUAAGGCCCCUAAGUGUGUGCUCAGUGGGAAAGGAUGUGGGAUUGCCCAGACAACCAGGAGGUUGGCUUAGAAGCAGCCACCCUUGAAAGAGUGCGUAAUAGCUCACUGGUCAAGUGGUCCUGCGCCGACAAUGUAGCGGGGCUUAAGCACACCGCCGAAGCUGUGUCAUUCACACAAUACAUCCGCUGUUUCUUCGGAAACGGUGCAGUGGUGUGGAUGGGUAGGGGAGCGUCCUGCAUCCAGGGAAGCGGCCGCGGAAGCGAGUCGUGGAGGGUGCGGGAGUGAGAAUGCAGGCAUGAGUAGCGAAUGCAGAGUGAGAAACUCUGCCGCCGGAUGACCAAGGGUUCCUGGGCCAGGCUAAUCCGCCCAGGGUAAGUCGGGACCUAAGGCGAGGCCGACAGGCGUAGUCGAUGGACAACGGGUUGAUAUUCCCGUACCCGAGCAUGUGCGCCCAUGGCGAGGCGGUUGACACUAACCACCCGAAGCCGCGGACGAUGUCUUCGGACGGAGUCUGUGUGUGGAGCGUGGGACCUGAUUCCGUAGUAGUCAAGCGAUGGGGUGACGCAGGAAGGUAGCUCCGCCAGGCGAUGGUUGUCCUGGUGUAAGCGUGUAGGCCGUCAUGUAGGCAAAUCCGCAUGACAUAUAGGCUGAGACGUGAUGCGUAGCCGUUUGAGGCGAAGCGGGUGAUCCUAUGCUGUCGAGAAAAGCCUCUAGUGAGUGCAUGCACGGCCCGUACCCCAAACCAACACAGGUGGUCAGGUAGAGAAUACCAAGGCGAUCGGGUGAACUGUGGUUAAGGAACUCGGCAAAAUGCCCCCGUAACUUCGGGAGAAGGGGGGCCAAGC